GGCGGCGUGCUUAACUACAUAGCAAGUCGAACGGAAAGGCCGUAGCGUUGCUGGGGUACGUCGAGUGGCGAAACGGGUGAGUAACACGUGGGUGAUCUGCCUUGUCACCUCUGGGAGUAAGCUUGGGAAACUGGGUCUAAUACCGGAUAGGAACCGUCUUUAGUUGUGGUGGUUGGAAAGUUUUUUCGGUGCAAGAUGAGCUCGCGGCCUAUCAGCUUGUUGUGGGGUAAUGGCCUACCAAGGCGUCGACGGGUAGCCGGCCUGAGAGGGUGUACGGCCACAUUGGGACUGAGAUACGGCCCAGACUCCUACGGGAGGCAGCAGUGGGGAAUAUUGCACAAUGGGCGGAAGCCUGAUGCAGCGACGCCGCGUGGGGGAUGACGGCCUUCGGGUUGUAAACUCCUUUCGACAGGGACGAAGUGCAAGUGACGGUACCUGUAUAAGAAGCACCGGCUAACUACGUG
rnacentral:rRNA from 1 species